AUUGAACGCUGGCGGCAGGCCUAACACAUGCAAGUCGAGCGGAGCGGAGGCCGGGUGAGUAAUGCCUAGGAAUCUGCCUGGUAGUGGGGUAUAACGUCCGGAAACGGGCGCUAAUCACGCAUAAUAUCAGAUGAGCCUAGGUCGGAUUAGCUAGUUGGUGGGGUAAAGGCCUACAAAGGCGACGAUCCGUAAAUGGUCUGGGAGGAUGGUCAGUCACACUGGAACUGAGACACGGUCCAGACUCCUACGCGAGGCAGCCGUGGGGAAUAUUAGACAAUGGGCGAAAGCCUGGUCCAGCCAUGCCGCGUGUGUGAAGAAGGUCUUCGGAUUGUAAAGCACUUUAAGUUGGGAGGCGUUACCAACAGAAUAAGCACCGGCUAACUUCGUGCCAGCAGCCGCGGUAAUAC
rnacentral:rRNA from 1 species